AAUAUAGAAAUUACCAAUGUCAUUCAGGUUCAAAUGAUCUGCAGCUGUUGAUCCCAUGAUCCUUUUCUGCGUGUGAGAGACGUUCACAUAUAUUUUAGUUGGAAGUUUAGCUGCAAAACCUUGUUAUUUGUUGAAUACCUUCAUUCUUAGAAAAAGAAAAACAGUUACUUUAGCGCGACAUUUACAGACUAUCGCUGCUAACAGAACAGACCUAGCAGCAGCUAUCUUAGCUGUAGCUUAGGUACACGCUAGCUAGCUAGUUAGCAUUAGCAACAGCGUUCUGCAGCCGCGUGGACCGAGCUCUUGAAGCUUCCACCACGGACAAACAGGACGUUGGUUUACAACAGAUCUUUAGAGAAACAACUUGGCAGCAGAGCAAAGAAAGCCUUCACCCAACAGCUAGUGGGACGCUACUAAAAUCACGGAAGGGACCUGACAGGGUGCCCCACCACUGCUCUAUACACACCAAUGUCUCAGAGGAGUCUUCAGCGUCGUACGAGCACAGCUCUCCUGGUAACUUUGUUCUGCAAAGACACCAGUAUGACACAGAAACGAGGAAUCGAUCUCAACCGGACCUUAAGGAGAGGAUUCUGGACUGAAAUGCAGUGAUGUAGUCAACAGAAAUAGGUAUAGCCAAUGAAAAGGCAAACACAUGUAGGUUACAACCACCAUCCACUGUGGCCGUCCUCUCCCAAGCACCAACACGCGCUUGCAACAAUUUACCAGCUCAAACCAGGAGGAAAGCAUUGCAUCUGACUCGAUGAAACAGCCUUCGCUUCCGUCUGGCCGUGGGGAGAGCUGUUUUUGCCUCGUGAUCCCUAUUGGUGCCUAAUAAAUGUGUUGUAUACAACACUGCGUGCAUUGGGUUUGAGCAUAUGUAUGUACUGGCCUCUCAGGGGUAAUUAGUAAUGGAUAAAAGUUAGACAUUGAGUCUUUAAAUAUUUGAUGAUGUUCCAUCAUUGAUGUUUUGUUGUUGUUGAUGCUUUCUCGAUGCCGGGCAAGCAGGACUGAGAUGCCUUCAAAGACUUUGGAGUUAUUCUGUAGCAAGGACGCUUCCAUAGCUCCUUUCUGAGUCUGUGACUAUUUUCACCCGCUCUCCCUUUGUGCCUGUUAUUGUGCUGUGAGUACGGCUGAAUUAUACUGUCCAUCAGCACUAUUCAAAUGGACCUAGCUAUGCUGUGUAAUUAUUUCCUUGCAUAAGCAACGCACUCAAAUGCAUAACUCCGGUCCAAGACAUGGGAAAUAACCAUCAUACUUGUAAAAAGCAGACAGAGACGUUCAACCUCCCUGUCAACACCUUCUUUGUGACCUCAGCUGCUGAUUUGUUUGUCUGAUGUGUUCUCAUUGAAAUUCAAUGUCUAAUAUCUUAUCCAUGCACUGGUUAUAUGAUUACUAAGUCUAACGAGCUCAUUAAUUGCUCCGAGGCAUUUUAAUGAAGCUUCUAAUUGAAAAGCAUCCAGUGCUGAUAGAGGGAAGAGACCGUGGAGAACUUGUGUCGGAUAGAGACAAUUCAGGCAGCAGAAAUAUUUCAUUAUAUUUCUCAUAUCAAUUAAUUAGUUUUCAAUUAUGGUGUUUGGCAAACAGAGCUGGUCAGAAAUGGAAAUUACCAGGAAUGGAAAUAAAUAUUUUAUCACCGUGAAAUGUUCGAGGCAAUCAAUCUUUCUGAAUGCUGUUGUUUCUCUAACCAACUCAAGAUCAAACCUGACUGACGUCUGUAAAAAAAAUAUCAGAACCUAAUAAGUUUAUAUUUCAAUUUCUUUCAUCUUGGGUUCUUUUACUUGUUAUUCCUUCCAUUUUUCAUGUUUUCUCUCCAGACUUUGCUGAAUGUCAAAGAAAACUAUACAUUUUUUUUUUAUUUCUGAAAUUACCUCAUGCAUUCAUUCAUGUUUUUUAUUUCAUCUUAUGCUCUUCUGGUCUAGUCUCCUCAUAUCCAUUUGUUCUUUCCUUUCUUCGUCUUUCCCUUCUAUAUAACACUACUUGAACUCUCCAUCCAUAAUCAAGAUUAUCAUCACUGCUACCAAGCCUGUAAUGACCUCAACAACAGAUGAAUGGUAAAUCAAUAAGCGCUGACCUUGCGGCAUAAUUGAACCGGGCUUCUCUCACUCAUAGAACAAUAACUUCAUUAUAGACAAAGACAAACAAAGUAAUAGAGGAGCUAUUCUAUGAAAUUAUACACAUAAAGAGAUGUGGAUUCUUGUGCUGUUGUCUGGUACAAAGAUUGAUCUUUAACUCCACUGCUGAGGUUCAAAGUCCGUUAACAUUGAAGUUAUUAUUGAAGUGUCCUCAUGCAAUAUCAGGAUCUCAAGUGUUUGUUUCUGAACCCACACUCUAUAUAUUUAUAAUCGUGUUCCUGUGUGUUGUUCAGGCAUCUAGUGCGUCUGUCAGUCCUUGGUUGAAAGUCACAGCUUGAAAUCUCAGAAGAGGGUAAAGCUAAGUGGUUGAGGAUGGAUGGAUGGAUGGAUGGAUGGAUGGAUGGAUGGAUGGAUGGAUGGGACUUGCCGUUAGGUCACAGAUGGAGCUGUGCCAGGAGACCUGCACUCUCACUAUUUCUUGCUACACAUGUGGCACACCAGCCAGCAUUCAUCAGGCCGUCAAAGCCAAACAUGGGGCUGGUUUAGAAAGCUACAGCUGGCUCAGUAAAGACAGGACAGACACAUUAUGGUAGGACUUUGAAAGAGGUCUCCCUAGAGUCAUUUUAAUUAUGAAGCUUUCAAUCACAUGAUCUUCGUCAGAUGUGAUCGGAGGAGUUUGUUUAGUAGAUUAUGUUGACUGUGGGAGUGGAAUUUGAGGAUUGAACUUUGAAUUAGGACCCAAUGUGUAUUUAAAAUCUGUGCUUUUAUAUAUUUUAAGUAUAUUUACCCUAUCAUAUAUGGACAAUAAUACACACUUCAUGCUUCUCCUGAUCAAAAGCCUGAAACCUUCUGGAUGAAUCUAAAAUAGGAGGUGUUUCAAGUUGGCAGCUAUAAACGGCUUAAAGCUUGACUGACUCACCUGAUGUUAUCUGCUCAUUUACAUAAUAUACUGUACACACAAAAACAGAUGAAGGCAGGGGAGCGGCACCAUGCUGCAACAAUAGCAUAAUGGGAGCAUUAGAACACCUGAGCCUGGAUAAUGAAGUGAACUAAUAGAGAUAACUGAAUUAUGUGUCACCCACACCACCUUCAUCCACCAUCUACCUUUGGCCAUGGUGGGAUUUAAUACUGUGUCUCUGUUGCCUCCUCCCUGCUCCCCAUCUCUUACUGUAGGUACCUAUUCAUCCCAUUCUGUCUCUUUCUAAUAUCUUCACCACCGCCAAUAUGUUUAUCUGUCUUUUUCUACAAAUCUAUGCCUGACUAGUUGUCUGGUUUAGUACCCUGUUUUCUAACAAUUACUACUACACCUACGCCCACUAAUGCGUGGCAAUGCCUUAAAGGACAUUUACCAUAAGUCUGCAUACAGUGCACUGUAUCGCACUAACCUGUGUGCAGCUUUACUGUAACUUCUCAACUUCAAUGGGUCCCAGUGUCUUUGAGGUUUAACUAGUGAAACAUGAUCAGUUUAGAGCUUCUUCAGAACCUUUUCACUGUAGGUUUGUCUGAAAAGCCCCAUUACUCGAAGCGUACUGUAUGUAAUGAAAGAACCUUGACUUCAUUGCAGUAAAGAAAAAAUUGUUUAAUUUGAAAGCCUUUAUUUUACAGGGUAUUUGCACGAUAAAGGCAUUUCUAUUAGUGUGUGAAAUACAGUAAAUUCUGCCUUUUCCUCUGAAGGUCAGAUUUUUUCCGAUUCACUUUAUGCUUAAGUGAACUUCUCCAACUGUAAUGGAACGUCCAAUUUUGACUUGAUGUGAGAAAAGUACUUCAUUUUCCCAUUUAGUUUCUUAAAGCUCUGUCUUGCUUGGUUAAUGGUGUGAUUUAGAACAUGAUGUGUUCUGUGUGUCGGAUACUAGAAACAGUGCUUGGUUUGAAGUGUUGAGCCCAUUUCAGCCUGAGACGGUCUCGUCGACAGUGCAGUACAGCGCUGAUUCACAUUCUCCAUUCUCCAGCCUGCAGUGUUGAGUUCAGAUGAAUGUAACAGCUCCACUAAUCCAGUGCCGGUGCUCAGCGUCCGCGCAUUGUGUCAGUGUUGUGCCACAGGUUUUUGGGUUAUUUACUGGUAAAAAGGGGUCUGAAUAUGAACCUCUGUCUGCACAAUCCUGUGUUCCCACAGUCCCUUCACCUGCUGGACAAUGUUUUGGCUAUGUGGAGGGACACGAGUGUCACCUCAAGCUGGCACCUGCUUACACGAAUGGUUUUCAGUGUGGACUGACAUUAUCUGCACAGAUGCACAGUCCAGGCUGUUUGAAUUCACUAUAGUUGUCACUGCUGUGAUGCCUCUCAGCACAUCCUGCCAGUUUCAAAAGAGCAAUGAAAGCCCAUAGAUAACUUAAUUAUAGUGUAGCAGUGCAUGAUCCUUCAUUCUGAUGACAGUUAUGGAUGAGAUAAGGAGAUGCAGUAUAUAAAGCAGUCCUAUACCUUAAGGCAAAGAGAUUUAAUAUCAUCUGAUGUGCAUGUGCACUCUCCUUUAUGUAUCGCAAACAUCUACAAGAUUAGACAACGUUGAGCAAAAGUGAGAGCGUUACGUAUAAACACACUUGCAAAAUUCGAAAGGUACAAAACACGGAGACAAGGUUAAUUGUUAAACCUUUCUCUUGCAAUAAACACACAUUCUUACUUUCUAUCUGUUUCUACAGUGUCGUGUUUUUUUUUUUUUAUAAGUAAAACACAAACACACACCUUUAGCCUCCACGGUGACUAAUGGGAAUUUGUGACGGUGCUGGCGGUAAGUAAGACAGAGUGAGAGCAAUCGAAGGACGCCCGAAUUUGUCAUUGUGGAAAUGACGGGUUACAGGGUCCAGCGCUUAGCACUUUCUCCUGCCUGACCAGUGGUGGAUGAACAUUCCAGAGCAGAGGACAGGACUGGAGGCGCUCCAUUGUGAAAGUGACCGGUCGUUUUAUACACUUUAUCUUUAUCUAAAGUGAUUUUCUGACCAUCUUUCUCUUUCUUAAUUUGAAUCUUCCUCUCCUUUAGCUAUUUUAGUUGCUUCUGUGUUAUCUCAGCCGUUCGCCCCCUCGCUAUUCAGUCAUUGUCUUGUCGUCAUCACUCAUUCUGUUUGUCUCCCCUUCAUAUCUGUGUCUGCCCCUGCUUGAUUCCCAUCCCUUCCUCCGUCCAUCUAUUUCCCCUGCUUAUCUCCGCCUUUCUUUUUUAUCCACACACUCAUUUUUCUCCGUCUAUCCAUCUAGCUGUCUCUUUUUCUCAGGUGGCAGAGCAGAUUAGUGGUUAGUGAGACCAUCCCAUUACUGUAAGGUUACAGAUUCAAUCUCCGAAGGCAGACAGCGUGCACAUCAACAGCCGUAGGUCCUGUCAAAAUGUCCUUGAACAAGAUGCUGAAUAUACACCUGCCCACUCAUUUUGAGGUACUCUGGAUAAAAGCCAUAAAAAGUAAAAUUUUGCUCCCACUGUAUAAUCUACUAUCAGAUUAUUUAUUUAUUUAUAUACACACACACACUCUGACUCUGACCUUCUAUCAGAAGCGCUGUUACUACACUAGGUUGCUCCCUACGGUCAGGGAUGGUGCCUGUGGGUCUAGAGUUUUUUUUUCUUCCCUGCAGAGUCCCAUUGAAUUAUGGUCAAUUUAAUUUCGUUUUAUUAAUAAAGCAGUAUAUCAAAGCAAAAACUGAUCUGAUCUGAUCUCUACACAGUAAUGUGCUUUAAAUUAUUAGAAUAUGACUAAAAACUGAAGUAAUCUUUGAUGUACUUUAAUGAAAUUGCAAUAAUAGUGUUUCAGUAAUUAGUAUUAAAUCCACACUUGCGUCUAAAUGGUUAAACAACUGGUGAGUAGGUGCUCUGGCCAAAAGCUAAAACUGAUCAGCAACAUCUAUGGGAUGGAUUCAAGAUGACCCCUUAAGUCACUAACUGCCCCUAAGAGCACAGUCAAAGCCAAUUAGUGUAAUAAAUCAGGCGCACGUGUAAUCGGCCUGUGCACGAAGGCGACUAAUGUGACUCCUCUGAAGGGGUCUAAGUGUUCUGCAGGUGAGAGAGACAUGCUAUAAAAAAUGAACACAACUGUGUGGUGAACAACUGUGCAGUCAGCUGGCAUCACAGUUUCAGACUGUUUUAGCAGGAGGCGUUUAAUGGAGUGUUUAACCAUCUGGAGGUGAAGAGUUAUGGCAACAACCCAACCCGAAAAACGUACACUGAGGCCUGAGAUGACAAGAAACUCAACGGAACAGCACGCUGGACCUCAGGUGCUGGUGGUGGUUCAGACUGGAGUGACCUGGUUUUGUUCGGCUCGGUGAAUGGCACAGGCUGAAGAAGUUCGAGCAAGCCUUUCUGUUACACUCCACCAUAUCCAAUUCUUUCAGCUCAGGUUUCAAGUGGAGUCAGACACAUGGUCUGACCUGGAGAAUGGUAUUAAAGGAAAGUAUAGAGUGUCCGGCAUGGACAGAAUCUAAACCAGUUAGGUUUAGAUUAAGGGGGCAGAAAUGAGGGGACUUCACCCUUUCCCAGAAUUGGAUUUAUGAUUUAUUUAUGUCGUAGGUCUGGAACCAAAGGAUGCUUUGAAGCACAACUCCCAACACCUGAUGAUGAAGGGAUUGUCAAAGGUGUGUGUGUGUGUGUGUUACCAGAUGUUUGCCUUCUCUCAGCUGCCCCUUUAUAUUACAGGGAAAAGCAGGCAUAUACUAGGAUGCGCAUCAUGGCCCGGUGUACAAUAAAUGGGAAUUGGGUAAAUUAGGCCAGAAGCAGUCUAAUGAUCAUUAAAUCUCUUACUGUUGUAGUUCAGGUGUGGAUUGGGCUCAGCUGUGGGGCUAAAAGCAGCCACAUGUUGACGAGGCUCAUUGAAUGACGCAAGAGAUGUUAAUUGGUUUCUCUCCUUAUAACUGGGAUCCAUUAGAUUUGCUGCAGCAGCUGAUCUGCAGAACCAGUAGUGAUUUUGUGUUAGAACACCAAAAUAUUAUUUGAAAAAAAUUUGUCAGACAAAUGAGAAAAUCAAGUUACUUCAGGAACCCAGAACACAUUUUUACUUCCCUCUGACAGAACAAAAACAGGCUUGUUCGUAUGAAGGCUUCAAGUGUCUGAAGCAGCUUUUAGGAAGGUGUGUUAUUUUCAAGUCUGUGCACCAUAUGCACGUAUCCAUCCCAACAUGUGCAUGUGCUCCCAGGCUUUGACGUAACUUUGAUAGGAGCUGACUGUUACUCAACACACUGUCGAGCGCAGCAGAAAUGAAAACCAGUUCCGACGCAUGAAUACGUGUAACCGCUUUGAUCAUGAUAAUUUAUUGAAUUUUUAUGAGCGUGAGCUCCCCUGACAUAUGAAAAGGUUUGAGCCUUAGCUGUCGGUUUUAAAGUUGUCUCUUUCCGUGUGUCAAGCUUUUGGUGAAUGGUGCUGUAUAAAUAACACUAUUUAAAUUAUGCAUGAAUUGGCACAAUUAUGAAAUUAAUAUUUUAUUUGUUAAACACAGAUUUGUUUCAUAUUCAGAGCGAUGAAGGUGUGCAUCCCUGUGGUGUGUCAGUCUCCUCACGAGGGGCCUAUCAUGGCUCAACCUCAAACUCCCACCAGUCAAUAUUACAACAAUUACCAUCAAAGCAUAAAAUGUCAAUAUGUGACAUUUUCAGAGGUCAAACUUGAGUUUUGAUGACCUGAGAACCCACGUUACUGUGAAUUAGCUGACGAGCUUCGAUUUAGGCUAAACUGUUGGCUCAGACUUUAAUAGACAUUGAUUUCACAGAAUAAUUUGGAAGGAGGCAGUAAGGACCUGUAAACGGGUCCCAGUAUGAACCCAGGAGGUUGAAAGUUACUCAGUUGCUGGGAUUCAGUAUGAUAUAAAUAAGCAGUUACUACAAUUAAAUACAGGCAGUAUAAAAAAAAGCACGGUGAAACAGUUAAACAUGGAGGUUCAGAUUCAAUAAACGCAUUGUCCACAGCAACGCCAGAAUAAAGGGAAGCACUUACUGUAAUAUGGUGUAACUGUGAAACAGUUCCACAAACGUACAUCCGUCCCGGUUUCCUCUCCUUCCUCUGAAGGACGGCUUUGUACUCUCUCGCUUUGUGCUUUCAAAUUGUCUUUGUCCUUGUGUAUUUCUCUCAAUAAGACCAGAUCAAAUGGUGCUCACCAGGAGGUCUGCCGUCGUUUCUCAGAGAGAGGGGAAGUGAAAGACGCUCCAUAUCUCAGUGUGAUGACAUUAUACAGAGCGACGGGAACAUACAAGUGUUCAAGAUGAAGCAGCGCAAUGAGAAGAGGGGUGACGGCUAUCGCGAGUGGCUCGUUUCCUGGCUCUGGCAAACAGACGUCUUUGUAAAAGCUGGCUGAGGUGGCAGCUCUGAAGUGAUGGCGAGCGUGUUAGCAUAUUUUAUUGUGCUCUCUGAAACAACCCGUGAAGACACGUGCGUAAAUAAUGCAUUCAGAGAUAAACUUAUCUCGUUUGAUGCCGUCGAGCCAAAGCGCCUUCCUCACAUUUAAUUCGGGAGCUGAUUGACAGAUGGAAACGACAAGUGGUAGCGUGGUUUGGUUGUUUGAUGUCGCACGCUGCUUUGAUGUUCAGCUAAAAACAGAAAAGUCGGAUGCGAAACACGGAUUUACGGGAAAACCAAGUUUUGGUAGUUAACUCUUUUUACACAUAACAAAACAACUGUGCUGUGGUUCAUGUGUCACUAGGUUAAAUAUUGUUUGACAAAUGUACAACAUACAAAAAGAAAAAGCUCUUAUUUUUGUACACAGAGUUCACACAGCCGCCUCUUAGUGUUGUCUAUUUUCAAAUCUUUCUUUUAGAAUCUGUUUGCUGUGAUGACAGAUGUGCAGCAGUGCUAUAGGUCCCUCAAGUACAGUAUUUUGCCGACGUAGAUCAAAGUCAGCUCAAGUACAGUCUAAAGUCUGGACAGUAAAAGUACAGGUCCCACAAUUCCACCUGGCCUGCUCAGAUUCUGGAGGUCAAAGGUCAAGGUCAGAGCAGGAGGAUAAAGCUUAAGUAAAGCUGUAAAUGUGUUCUGUUUAAUCAAAUCCAGGCCAUGUUUUGAGUAUUAAAUAUCAAACUAAAUUGUAAAUAACAUAUUAUAGAGAUGCUGCUGUAAUGGGAAAAAUUGUGCCUUUGUGCUGUUUAGUUUCAAUACUGAACACACACAAACAACUAAUCUCUUGUGCCCUGUCGUACCGACUGUUGACUGACUAAUAGUUUAUGUGUGUGUCUUUUACACCCAGUCUCUGGCUCCUUCCUACUGUAUCUCAUUCCCCACCCGACCCAAGGCUUUAAAACCAAAUGCAUCUUGUCUUCGAAGCUUGGUGUUCCUUCCUUUGUCACUUCUGCAUCAUCGUGUCUUAUUAUCCAAUGUAAACAUUCUUACUCACGAUGAGAUAAGGUGGCACAAACAAUUCUAUUGGUGCAGAAAGACAUUCCACUAGAACCACAGAAAAGGCAGAAGCAACUUGAGGACUGUGGGCUCUUUGCAUCACUCUGCUUCUUUAUGGCAAAAAAGUAACAACUGGUAUAAUAUCUUAUUUCAAAAACAAAACAAAUGUGCAAAAUAUACAUUUUACAUACAUACAAAUAUACGUUUUAUUACGUUAAUAUGUUUCACUCAAUAAAAAUUCCUUGCGUAAUGUUUAACUGGCAGCGACUUUAUUUUCUUCUUGUGUCCCUUUGUUGUUCUUCUUUCUCAUUUUCUCUAUCGACUCCCCCAAAUGCUCAACCCCCCAGUCACCUUCUUCCCUUCUCCACCUUUUUUCCUCUACAAGAAGACUUAUUGUGUGGUUGUCAACAUGACUUCUUAUUAUGGGGCUAAGUAAGUGUAAAAUUGACUUUGGGCCUGAAUGUGACAACUCAAUGAAACCAAGUCUGCAGGGUUUUGUCUACUUGACACAUUUCAGCGUGAAAGCAGAGUAUGUGUUUUAAUAGAUUGUAAUAUUGUUAUUCAAGAUUUUAAGUUCCCACCUAAUAAUUUCUGCCUGACGCAGUACAGUAUAUUUCUGUUUAAUGUCUCAAGUUCUUUCGGAUGGUUGUCGUCUCUGUACAGCUUAGUUUUUUUGGUCAUAAUUGGGCAACUGAUAAAAACAGCAGUUGAAGUCUCACAUGCUUUUCUGAAAAAGGUCAGCUCUUUUCACCAUCUGAAAGCUCUCCACUCAGCCAAAAAGCAGCUUGGUACAGAGCUUCAUAAAGGGCAUCCGCACUCCGAGCAGUGAUUGUGUUGUUUUUUUUGUUUUGU